CAGAACCACCCUAGCCAGGACCUUUCAGUGGGUCCUAGCAGCAGCUCUAGCCCUGGGAGUCAAGCAGCCUGUUGGAGGAACCCAGCUUGUGUCCAGGACCUGAGAGAUGUGAUGGAGUUCCAGGAGUUCCCGCCUUGGCAACUGGAAAUGACAAAGUGUUAGAAGAAGAAGGAGAAGGAAAAGAAGGAGGAGGAGGAGGGAGAGGAGGAGGAGAAGGAAAAAGAAGAUGAAAGAGGAGAAAGAAGAAGGAGAAAGGAGAAGAGAAAGAAACUCACAGAUGAAAGCCAAAAGUGGAAGAAUCAGGAUCGGACACCCUGGGCAGCUAAGGGCAACAGAUGCAAGUCACUCCCCAUGACUGCACAUCCAGAUGAACAGAAGGCAAACAAGAACAGGCCAGAGAGGGCUGUUCAAGCAAACAAGGAAGAUUCUAUAAAUAAACCAGGGGAGAAAAAACACACCAGUCUUAGCGGAUGAGCUCAUCAUGCUGGGUCCGGAUAGGCAUCUCUUAUUCCUCUCUUAAUUGAAGUUUGUGAGAGGGAGAGCAGAAAGGAGAGGAGUCAGGCAGCUGGCCCCUGAGGACCAGGUUCCAAGAAGUCACCCCACUUUUAAUUAGACACCGCUGGAGUUAAGGAGGCUCGAUACCAUCGCUAUGGACAGGGCCCUGUGUUUUCACGGACAGGCCAGCCCCACCCUUCCCACCUACCUAGCCAGGCACCCACCCACCCCUGGUGGCCUGCCCACAGUGAGCAAAGAAAACAGGAAGGAGUUCCCAGACGGGAAGAGGCAGAGGAGGGCGCUGUGGAAGGAGGCCAGCUUUUUGUUCUGAAGGGUGGCCGGUGGGCAGGCCUAGGAUGGCUGGGAGAUGCAGCUGUCCGGAGCUCUGGGCAUGGGGCACACGACCAUGAACUAGAGCCCCAGCCUCCACGAGCUCCCCUGUGGGGCCCAGGUGGGGGAGAAGUUAGAGAGGAGCUCACAGCAUGAACACACAAUACAGUCACACAGGCAAACAGGCCACGGACAUGGAUGGAGCUGGUGGCGUGGGGAAGGUCCUACUGAAUCACCACUUGGAAGUGAGGUAGCAGCCCUGUCCUAUAAGAUUCUAGAGGGAGAGUCAGAAAAUGGCUGUGGGGGAGCGAGGUGGGGGGUGGAGCCUCCAGGUGGUAGCUCACAGAUCAACAUGUUUGAGGACCAGAGUUCAAGUCCCCCACUUCCCAGUUGUGUGUGAGGGGGGGGGGGGCUUCACAAGCAGUUAAAAAAAAAAAAACUGCUGUGGUAUCUCUCUGUCUCUGUCUCUCACCUUUUUUUCUGUUUGCCUCUAGGGUUAUCUCUGGGGCUUGGUGCCUGCACUAGGAAGCCACUGGUGGCCAUUUUUUCAUUUUUUAAAAUUGAAUAGGACAGAUAGAAAUUGAGAGGGGAGGGGCGGGGAGGUAGAGAGGGAGAGAGACAGAGAGAUACCUACAGACCUGUCUCGUUGUUUGUGAAGUGACACCCCCCCCCCCCGCAGGUGGGGAGUGGGGAGCUCAAACCAGGAUCCUUGAGCAGUCCUUGUGCUUCAUACUCUGGGUGCUUAACCUGGUGAGCCACUGCCCGGUCCCCUCACCUCUUUUUUUUUUUUUUAACAUUUUUAUUUAUUUAUUAUUGGAUAGAGACAAAGAGAAGUUGAGAGAGGAAGGGGAGAUAGAAAGAGAGAGACAUGGGAGUUGGGUGGUAGCGCAGCGGGCUAAGCACAUGCGGCGUGAAGCAUAAGGACCUGCGUGAGGAUUCCAGUUCGAGCCCCUGGCUCCCCACCUGCAGGGGAGUCCCUUCACAGGCAGUGAAGCAGGUCUGCAGGUGUCUAUCUUUCUCUCCCCUUCUCGGUCUUCCCCUCCUCUCUCCAUUUCUCUCUGCCUUAUCCAACAAUGAUGAUGGCAUCAACAACAACAAUAAUAACUACAAUAAUAAUAAAAACAACAAGGGCAACAAAAGGGAAAAUAAAUAAAUUUUUAAAAAAGAAAGAAAAGGAGAGAGAUAACAAACUCAGAAAAAAGAAAACAAAUGACACCAUCCAAAAAUGGAGAGAGGAUAUGAACAGAAUAUUUUCCAUAGAAGAGAUACAAAAGGCCAACAAACAUAUGAAAAAUGCUCCAAGUCAUUGAUGGUCAGAGAAAUGCAAAUAAAGACAACAGUGAGAUACCACUUCACUCCUAUGAGAAUGUCACACAUCAGAAAGUGUAGCAGAAACAAAUGUGGAGAGGUUGUGGGGACAAAGGAACCCUCCUGCACUGCUGGUGGGAAUGUCAGUGAGCCCAGCCCCUGUGGAGAACAGUCUGGAGAACUCUCAGAAGGCUAGAAGUGCACCUGCCCUAUGACCCUGCAAUUCCUCUCCUGGGGAUAUAUCCUAAGGAACUCAACGCAUCCAUCCAAAAAGAUCUGUGUACACCUAUGUUCACAGCAGCACAAUUUGUAAUAGCCAAAACCUGGAAGAAACCCAGAUGUCCAACAACAGAGGACAUCAGCCUCAUCUGACUCUGAGGCCAGACACACUGGGAGGCCCCUGGGACUCAGCCUGCUGAGGGGUCAGAGGGUCGAAAGUGAGUGGCUGAAGAGGCUCCUGGCCAAUCCCCAAAGAUGUGUUCCAGGAAAAGGCUUAGCCAAGACUCCCAUCUGUGCCAGCCAAGUGGUUUUCUAAACUGGAAUUGUUGGUUGGGCUGUCUCCCUACAAGGCAUCCCAGACCCUGGCUGCUGCAUGAGUUCCCAGAGUUCUGGCUCUCCAAAGGCUGGGCUGCUCCUGGUUCAUGCCCAUCUCAACUUCUGAUGCUGAAACCACCCCCCCAAGUUCUCUGGGGUGGCUCACAGCCCACACUGCCAGUCUCUGGGUUGGUAUGAGGCCCAGAAUCAGUGUCGCUGGCCUAAUGGACAACCUGGCAGUCAUCAGAAUGGCACCCAUUCAGUAGGAGAAACCACCACAGCCUAUGAGAGAUGGGCUCACAGAGAAUGGCGCUGGGGGGCGGGGGAUCUUAUGUGCCCUGCCCUCUGAAAAGCAGGUUUAUGACAGAGGAGCCUGAGGGAGUAUAUGUUUCUUCUAGAAGCUUCUGUGACCUAGACCUCACAGAUGAAGGCCUGUCUGACUUCCUUCUAUAGGACAUCUGCCUCCCAGAGGGAGAGGUGGGACCACACAGCCGGAAUGGCUUCAAUUGACGGAACAGAGAAGCACCAAGUAAAACUUGGACUGGGUGUGUUGU